AGCAGUUGGAAGCCGCUGCUGUCCGUGGUGAUAAUGGGACAAAUGUCGGUGGAGAAAUAACCCGGCUUAAUCCCCCAGCCGGCGAUCUUCCAACUCCGGUGUGUAAUCAUUUGUGCCCUUUUCUUUGGCCGUUGUCAACAUAUCUGGCUUAUGUGAGUCAGAAUUAUGUGACGAUCGCUGCGGCGGCGAACGGCAAAAGGUUUUCGAGCCUGAGGUUCCAGAACUGUGGCAUCUGCAUCUCUUUUUUAGCCACAUGUUGUUGCAGCUUUAAUAAAGACAUCAGCCGCGCAUAAUUAUGGAUUUGUACUACACUGACAAAGAAAAUGUUGAGCGAUCUUAUGACUCCUUUUUCUUUGACCUCACAAAUGCCAUUCGUUCUGCUUCGUUUUUCAACUCGGAGCUGUCUUUCUGGCCGUAAGUCGUAGAUUGGCAUUAUUGUCAUGGCCAACAACGCGGCAAUCUUCUCUUGGCCAUAUCUUAAUUCUAUUGGCCCGGCUGGGCAUUCCCUUACUCUUUUUUUUUUGUAGCACAU
ensembl:ncRNA lncRNA:CR45451 long non-coding RNA:CR45451